rnacentral:rRNA from 1 species
AUACGGAGGGUGCAAGCGUUACUCGGAAUCACUGGGCGUAAAGCGCGCGCAGGCGGCUAUUUAAGUUGGAUGUGAAAGCCUACGGCUCAACCGUAGAACUGCAUCCAAAACUAUUUAGCUAGAGUGUGGGAGAGGAAGAUGGAAUUAGUUGUGUAGGGGUAAAAUCCGUAGAGAUAACUAGGAAUACCAAAAGCGAAGGCAAUCUUCUGGAACACUACUGACGCUGAGGCGCGAAAGCGCGGGGAGCAAACAGGAUUAGAAACCCUUGUAGUCC